rnacentral:misc_RNA from 1 species
GGAAGGAUCAUUAUUGAACUGUAAAGUCUUUUAUGUGUGUUUCUGAUGGGUUUUUCUUUUUUAUUUGUACUGUAUUGAAAUUAAUCAUGAGUCCAAGCAAUGGAUAUCUUGGUUCCCACAACGAUGAAGAACGCAGCGAAAUGCGAUACGUAAUGUGAAUUGCAGGGUUAAGUGAAUCAUCAAAUGUUUGAACGCAAGUUGCGCCUUUUGCGAGGCAUGCUUCUUUGAGUGUCUUUUUCCUUGUUGGUCGAUUCUGGUUCGAAUUGCCCUUGUAUGUACAUGCUGUGUCGAUUGAAUGAUCGGACAUAACACACUAUAACAAUGACCUCAAAUGAAGUAGGAGUACCCGCUGAAUUUAAGCAUAUAAUUAAGCGGAGGAAAAGAAACUAACUAGGAUUCCCUCAGUAACGGCGAGUGAAGCGGGAAGAGUUCAAACCUGGAAUCGCCUCACGGCGAAUUGUGGUGUGUAGACGCGUGUCUCAGCGUUUGUGCCGGUGUAAGUCGGUUGGAAAAUCGCAUCAGAGAGGGUGAAAAUCCCGUUCGACACUGGGAUCACAAACGUGUUCGAGCCGUUGUUUAUGAGUCGGGUUGCUUGGGAGUGCAGCCCUAAGUGGGUGGUAAAUUCCAUCUAAAACUAAAUAUGUGUGGGAGACCGAUAGCGAACAAGUACCGUGAGGGAAAGAUGAAAAGAACUUUGAAAAGAGAGUUAAAAAGUACUUGAAAUUGUUUGGAUUGAAGGGAUGACGACCAGUGGUCAGCAUGGCUUGCUGUUGUGUUUGGUGUCUACAGGGGUAGGUGGCUCUUGGGAGUGUUUUAGCCCUGUUUUCACAAUUCGACGGUGAGCGAGGUCAUGGAUAGAUGCUGACGAAAUGGUCGUCAUUCACCCGUCUUGAAACACGGACCAAGGAGUCUUACAUGUGUGCGAGUGUUAGCGCAUUGAAGCGUUAUCGCGUAAUGAAAGUGAAUUUGUUCAAGCGAGGGCGGCUACGGCACGACCCUGAGCAUACAUGCAGGGACCCGAAAGAUGGUGAACUAUGCCUGGGCAGGAUGAAGCCAGGGGAAACUCUGGUGGAGGUCCGAAGCGAUACUGACGUGCAAAUCGUUCGUGUGAGCUGGGUAUAGGGGCGAAAGACUAAUCGAACCGUCUGGUAGCUGGUUCCCUC